AUAAUCAUUGGAAACGAUGACUAAUACCGCAUACGGUUUCUGGGAGGCAUCUUCCGGGAAAGAAAGGAUUUAUUCGGUGCAGGAUGGGCCCGCAUCUGAUUAGCUAGUUGGUGAGAUAACAGCCCACCAAGGCGACGAUCAGUAGCCGACCUGAGAGGGUGACCGGCCACAUUGGGACUGAGACACGGCCCAAACUCCUACGGGAGGCAGCAGUGGGGAAUAUUGCACAAUGGGCGAAAGCCUGAUGCAGCAACGCCGCGUGAAGGAAGAAGGGUUUCGGCUCGUAAACUUCUAUCAACAGGGACGAAAGAAAUGACGGUACCUGAAUAAGAAGCCCCGGCUAACUACGUGCCAGCAGCCGCGGUAAUACGUAGGGGGCAAGCGUUAUCCGGAAUUACUGGGUGUAAAGGGUGAGUAGGCGGCAUGGUAAGCCAGAUGUGAAAGCCUUGGGCUUAACCCGAGGAUUGCAUUUGGAACUAUCAAGCUAGAGUACAGGAGAGGAAAGCGGAAUUCCUAGUGUAGCGGUGAAAUGCGUAGAUAUUAGGAAGAACACCAGUGGCGAAGGCGGCUUUCUGGACUGAAACUGACGCUGAGGCACGAAAGCGUGGGGAGCGAACAGGAUUAGAUACCCUGGUAGUCCACGCCGUAAACGAUGAGUGCUAGGUGUCGGGGAGGAAUCCCCGGUG
rnacentral:rRNA from 1 species